rnacentral:rRNA from 1 species
CAGUAGCCGCGGUAAUACGUAGGGUGCGAGCGUUAAUCGGAAUUACUGGGCGUAAAGCGUGCGCAGGCGGUUCGUUAAGACAGAUGUGAAAUCCCCGGGCUUAACCUGGGAACUGCAUUUGUGACUGGCGAGCUAGAGUAUGGCAGAGGGGGGUAGAAUUCCACGUGUAGCAGUGAAAUGCGUAGAGAUGUGGAGGAAUACCGAUGGCGAAGGCAGCCCCCUGGGCCAAUACUGACGCUCAUGCACGAAAGCGUGGGGAGCAAACAGGAUUAGAUACCCGGGUAGUCCCUGUCUCUUAUAC